GACGAACCGUCCGAACGUUAUUCGGAAUCACUGGGCUUAAAGGGUGCGUAGGCGGCGCUGAAAGUUGGGUGUGAAAUCCCUCGGCUCAACCGAGGAACUGCAUUCAAAACUACAGUGCUUGAGGGAGAUAGAGGUGAGCGGAACUUAGGGUGGAGCGGUGAAAUGCGUUGAUAUCCUAAGGAACACCCGUGGCGAAAGCGGCUCACUGGGUCUCUUCUGACGCUGAGGCACGAAAGCUAGGGGAGCGAACGGG
rnacentral:rRNA from 1 species